GACGAACCGUGCUACCGUUGUUCGGAAUCAUUGGGCUUAAAGGGCGCGUAGGCGGGUCAGCAAGUCAGGGGUGAAAUCCCACGGCUCAACCGUGGAAGAGCCUGUGAUACUGCUGAUCUUGAGGGAGGUAGGGGCGUGCGGAACUUCCGGUGGAGCGGUGAAAUGCGUAGAUAUCGGAAGGAACACCGGUGGCGAAAGCGGCGCGCUGGACCUCUUCUGACGCUGAGGCGCGAAAGCCAGGGGAGCAAACGGG
rnacentral:rRNA from 1 species